rnacentral:rRNA from 1 species
ACAGAGGGUGCAAGCGUUAAUCGGAAUUACUGGGCGUAAAGCGCGCGUAGGUGGUUAAUUAAGUUGGAUGUGAAAGCCCCGGGCUUAACCUGGGAGGGUCAUUCAAAACUGGUUGACUAGAGUAUGGUAGAGGGUAGUGGAAUUCCUGGUGUAGCGGUGAAAUGCGUAGAUAUCAGGAGGAACACCGGUGGCGAAGGCGACUGCCUGGACUGAUACUGACACUGAGGUGCGAAAGCGUGGGUAGCGAACAGG